UCUCCUUGCUGUGCUACUCACCUGGGGGUUGCUGAGCCAGCAGGGCCUCCGGAUGGGGUAGACUGAAUAGCAGUACUUUCCCGUCUGAGCAGGCCAGAGCCAAGAGACCCAACCGGGGCAGGAGAGGAGCCUAAAGGGUAAAAGGGCUGGAGAAAAGAGCCACAUAUUGCGAGGCUCCUGCCCCCUCUGGCACUGGGCACCAGUCCAGAGCCCAGAGCGGUCCCCCCGUGAAGAAGGACACAUCCCAGCGCUCUGGAUGUGCUGUGAUCGAGCUAAAUCUAGAGAAAAAUCAAAGAUGGGAUGAAGAAAGGAAUUAAUGAAAGCUUCCCUCAGCCUGCCAGUAAUGAACACUACAAAUCAGAGAGGACUGACCAGCUCUAGUCAGCACUCUUAUUCUUGGGACCAACUGAACCAGCAUCAGGGGAAGGACAGGACUUAUCUGUCAUCUCUUUCAACAUUCAUUUUUCUUGUUUCUGGCUCCUACAAUCAGAAAAAAGGGCGGAUGUGCAAUCUUCACCUGUUUAUUCGGUAGAGGGUGCCAUCUUCAGGUAGCCCUUCACGUUGUACAGAAAACAAUGGAGACUUCUCCUCCUGGGGCAGUGGUGUCACCCUUCCUAAGCUACAGAGAUGUUGCUUCAACUUACAGCUCAGAUAACAAGUGCCACUUCCAGGCUAAAGGAAUCCAUUCAGCAAACUCCCAGUAUGAAUGUUUCUGCUCUCGGCUGGAGAAAAAGAAGAAGCAUUAAUGAAGGAGAGGGAUUCUACAGCAGCACAGUCCAGUAAAACUUUCUGUGGGGAUGGAAAUGAUCCAUUAUCUGUGCUCCCCAAUAUGCCAGUUGCUAGCUCCAAUUAGCUACUGAGCACCUAAAAUGUGGCUAGCGCAGCUGAGAAACAGAGCCUUUCAUUUUAUUUCACUUUAAUUAAAGAGUUCUAGAGCUCUUGCCUCUAGAGCAGUGCUUUUUAGUAAUGAAUGUCA